rnacentral:tRNA from 1 species
GCCUGAGGGGCUCAGUUGGUAAAGCGUCUGACUCUAGAUCUCAGCUCAGGUCAAGAUCUCACAGUUUGUGGGUUCAAGUCCCACAUUAGGCC